rnacentral:rRNA from 1 species
CAUGCAAGUCGGACGGUAGCACAGGAGGAGCUUGCUCCUCGGGUGACGAGUGGCGGACGGGUGAGUAAUGUCUGGGAAACUGCCCGAUGGAGGGGGAUAACUACUGGAAACGGUAGCUAAUACCGCACAACGUCGCAAGACCAAAGUGGGGGACCUCCGGGCCUCACACCAUCGGAUGUGCCCAAAUGGGAUUAGCUUGUAGGCGGGGUAACGGCCCGCCUAGGCGACGAUCCCUACCUGGUCUGAGAGGAUGACCACCCACACUGGAACUGAGACACGGCCCAGACUCCUACGGGAGGCGGCAGUGGGGAAUAUUGGACAAUGGGCGCAAGCCUGAUGCACCCAUGCCGCGUGUAUGAACAAGGCCUUCGGGUUGUAAAGUACUUUCAGCGGGGAGGAAGGUGUUGAGGUUAAUAACCUCAGCAAUUGACGUUACCCGCAGAACAAGCACCGGCUAACUCCGUGCCAGCAGCCGCGGUAAUACGGAGGGUGCAAGCGUUAAUCGGAAUUACUGGGCGUAAAGCGCACGCAGGCGGUCUGUUAAGUCAGAUGUGAAAUCCCCGGGCUUAACCUGGGAACUGCAUUUGAAACUGGCAGGCUUGAGUCUCGUAGAGGGGGGUAGAAUUCCAGGUGUAGCGGUGAAAUGCGUAGAGAUCUGGAGGAAUACCGGUGGCGAAUGCGGCCCCCUGGACUAACACUGACGCUCAGGUGCGAGAGCGUGGGGAGCAAACAGG